rnacentral:snRNA from 1 species
AGCUUUGCGCAGUGGCAGUAUCAUAGCCAAUGAGGUUUAUCCGAGGCGCAGUUAUUGCUAAUUGAAUUGGAUCUGUAGCAAGUCCUGCUUGAAUUCAACAGGCCAGAACUGAGCCUAUGGCUCUCCUGACUUUUUCCACCCCCUGCAAAAUACCCCCUAUCCUUUCCCUCUCUGAGAUCUGAGGAAAGCAAGUCCAGGAGGUAAUCCUCGCAAACACUGGAGUG